GCUGUGGCUCAGGGGUAGAGGGCUCACCUAGCAUGUGUGAGGCCCUGGGUUCAAUUCUCAGCACCGCA
rnacentral:tRNA from 1 species